CAAAAUUGUUCAUUCAAUGGUUGAAAUUGUGGCAGAAAAUUGAAAAGGGAAUGCAUGCUUUUAACAUCAAAAUGAGGAGAGGAAUAUCAAGUUUGUUGUCUGUGUGUUUGGUUCAUGCAACUACUUUUUUUGGUGCCAUCUUUUGGAGAUUCAAAAGAGGCAAUGAGGAGCUAUUGACUUGGCAUUUUGGAGAGCUCUUAUUGGCCAUAAAGUGGACUUUUUGGGGUGGCAAAAUUUAAGAGAAGGUGCAACUAGCUAAUAGUUCAAAGAGCCAAAAUAGUUUUGCAGCAAAUGAGGUAGCAAAAAGGAAAGAAAGAUCUAAAAGACCCCCCAUUCUUAGAUAUUUUGGAGGGAUUUUUCUGGUUUGAAGGCACCACUCACCUACCUAUAAAUAAGAGAAAAGUCGACCAUUUUGGGAGACUUUAGCUUAGACUUUAGAUUAAGAUUUUAAUUUUUUGUUGAUUUAGAUUUUUGCAUUUUCUUCUUGUAAUUUUAUUUUCCUUCUAGCCAAACAACUUUAGAUUUCAAUUUUCCUUAUUGAAUUUGAUUGAAAAUUUAUGUUUCUUAAAGUGCUUUUCAAUGUUCUUUAAGAUUUUCACAAUGAUUUUCACAAAUUCUUAUGAUUUCAAGUUCAAAUCUUGUUAAUUUCAG
rnacentral:lncRNA from 1 species